CAGUACUUCUGGGGACAUUUUCUAUUAUCAAGAUCAAGAGUGAAAUGCUCUCCUUCUCUGUGGUCAUCUAGAGGCAAAGAUGAUGUCACGUUGUAAACAGAAGGAGAAGAUUCAGAGCUGCCGGCCAUGCUGGGAUCACAGCGAUGCCCCCUUCCCUCCCUCACACUAGGACAGUUGAAUGAGCAGCCAAGAAGACAAUAAAUCAGAAAGCUUUGUCUCCCUCCACUUCCAGUUUUGCCUGGGGAAGUCAACAAUCUUCUACAUUGUGUGGGACACGUGCAAGGCUCUGUGGGACUGUCUGCAAAAGGAUUUCAUGCCACAGCCUUCAUCACAGCAAUUGAUCAGCAUCGCAGACAAAUUCUGGGAAGUUUAAACUAGCAUGAAAAUGGAACAGUGAAACUCAGCAGCACACCAUAGGUUCAUCCAAGAAGGAGCAAAAGAAUCCAGUAUCCAAAGAAGAAGAGCUUAGAGGAAUGUUGGACCAAUCGUCCCUGUAUCCAACUAUCAAGAAGAAUCACAAGUGUAAGGAGACAUUGCCAUGCAUGUAUCAACCUGAGCAAAUAAAAACAAAAAUUGUUAUUAUUUAUUAUUCUUAUAGAAGUAUUGGCCUGAGUAACCCCCAAGAUUAUCGGAUCCGUGUUUACACCCCUCAAGUGUACUACAGCCCACUACUCAAACAAAUGAAGUGCCAAAUGUGACAUGUGAUGGGUGACCUAAUACGUGCAUAUACUAUGUGUAAAAAAAAUGUGACUUAAUAUAAAUGUGAAUGGACUAUUAUUUGUGAAAAUGGAAUAUAUAUGUGUGAAAAAGGAGUGUGAAAUAAAAUAUGUG